GGAGAGGUGGCCGAGUGGCUGAAGGCACCGGUUUGCUAAACCGGUAGGGGGCGAUAAGCUCCCUCGCGGGUUCGAAUCCCGCCCUCUCCGC
rnacentral:tRNA from 1 species